AUGCAGGGGGAGGUGGAGCAGCAGGCGCCGAUGCAGAUGGUGCUGCGGGUGAAGCACCCGUCGUCGCUGUCCAGCGGCAGCGAGGAGGCGUCGGAGGGGGAGGGGUCGUCCAGGUCGGCGCUCUCGGUGUUCAAGGCCAAGGAGGAGCAGAUCGAGAGGAAGAAGAUGGAGGUCAGGGACAAGGUCUUCGCGCAGCUCGGCCGCGUCGAGGAGGAGUCCAAGCGCCUAGCAUUCAUACGACAGGAGCUGGAAGGGAUGGCCGAUCCUACGAGGAAGGAGGUGGAAUCAAUACAGCGGCGGAUCGACACCGUCAACCGCCAGCUCAAGCCUCUCAGCAAGAGCUGCGUCAAGAAGGAGAAAGAAUACAAAGAGAUUCUCGAGGCGUACAACGAGAAGAGCAAGGAGAAGGCCAUACUUGUCAACAGGCUAAUAGAGCUGGUGAGCGAAAGCGAGAGGAUGAGGAUGAAGAAGCUUGAAGAGCUCAACAAGACAGUUGAUUCACUCUAUUAG
rnacentral:rRNA from 1 species